rnacentral:sRNA from 1 species
GGGGCUCCAGGGACCUGUUGAUCGCAGGUGUCACUGGCCUGACUGGUCCCUGGGUAUUGGGGCGUAUGCGCAUGCUCCGCUCACAGGGUCGGGCUCUGGGCGGCGGAGACCAGCCGCCUGUGCUCCAGUUCCCGGUGAGCCUCGGUACUGUGGCAGCAGUCAGUGUGUCUGGCGGGUGUCGGCGUGAAGCGGGGCUGGGCCAGCGGGAGGUAGCUCUGUGGGAGUGGAAGGCCUGUAUUUCUCUACCUGGAUCGCACGCUCCUCGCGCAAGGAGGGUAGAGCUCAAGAUACUUGGGAUUUGCUUUACAUUCUAAUUGGAUUUGAGGAAGAGACAAUAAAGAAUAAACAGUCAAUUCUAUAAUAUAUUUAGAAGGAGAAAAGUGCCAAGGAGGAAUGAAAAAGUAGAGCAAGGUAAGAGGAAUUUGGAAAGUGUGGUAGAGAUUGUGAUGGUUUGCAAUUUUAAAUAAGUGUAGGCCUCAUUUAAGUGAUUUUUUUGGCAAAGCAAUUAUGAAGGGAGGGAGGGCAAAGCCAUGUGGGCAUCAUGGGGGGAAUGUAUUCCAGGCAGGGGAAUGGCCAGUGCAAACAAUAUAGAGAACAGAAGUUUGUAUAGUGUGCAGGAAUGAGAAGGAGGCUGAUGUGGCUGGAAUGGGAAAGCCAAAGGUUGAGUAGUUAGAUGAGGGGCUGGGCAGAUAGUGACAUUAUGAUUUAAUUUUAGAAAGAUCUCUGUCUACUCUCCAGAAUAGACUUAUAUGUUACUGUGUAAAGGGUAGAAGCCAGGAGACAAGCUGCUAUUUUUUUUAAUCCGCACAAGAUGUGAUGAUGGCCAAGACUAGAAUUGUUGAAGUGGAGGUGGUGAAAAGUGGUCAGAUCCUGAAAUAUGAGAGAAAACGGAGUCAAAGAUGACGUCAAGAUAUUUGUUCUCAGCCACUGGAAAGAUAAAGUUGCCAUUGGCUGAGAUGGGGAAGAAGGUAUAGAUAAAGUAAGAGUUCAGUUUGGGGCUUUGUCAAGGCAAAUAAAUAUUAGGUUAUUGCUGACUUGACAUAAUUUUCUUCUGGAGAUCAUGUCUUAAAGUAGACUGCCGUAAGCCAUUUUCUUUAAUGACCAUGUCCUAUAUUCUGGAUACAUGUGUAUGCUUGUCUUUUGCUAGUUAGUUACUAGUGGAAACUAGUGAAUAGGUAAAAGCAACAUGAAAUAUAGCAUGGUUUUUUGUUAGACACAAAGAAAUAGAGCAAAAAAGUGGAAACACUGAAAAUUACUUAAAAUUUACUGUUUUUUUGUUGGCAGUAUUAUAGUCUUUUUUCUUACUAAUUUUAUUUUCUGUCUUUGUUUUAUAAAUUUUCUACUAUAGUCUUCUCUAAUUCCUCCAUUUCUAGAGUGACAAUGGUUUUACACAUCAAAGAAUAUUUAUUCUUCAAUUAUACCUUCCUUACUAUAAUCCUUUAGCUUUAUAAACACAAAGUUAUUUCUGUAAUGAAAGAUAUAUUUUUUCUUUUUUCUGACACUAUCUACUUGAAGAUAAAGAGUUUUUUUGUAUUACUUCAACUUGGUAUAACUCUUCUGUUUGCUAUCUAGUUAUCUAAAAUAAAAUCUUAAAUACUUCUAGUAAGAUGAGCAGUUGUAGCAUAUCAUCAGAAAGUCCUCAGUGUAUCUCUGAGGUGCUAUAUUGUUAGUGAAAAGAUGUUAAUAUGAAGUUUUACUUUACAGUUUGAUGGCUAGACUGUGUACUAUUAAGAACAUAUUUGCAUAGCAGUGAUUCUCUGCUAAUAUGGAAUUAUGGAUAUUUCUAAUUUUCUUUAUGUAGUAUUUCUGUGGUAUUUCAGAAAUCUAAUGAACAAGUACUGUUUGAUAAUCAAAAAAAUCCAUACACAUAAAAGAACAAAGAGUCUCAUGGCUUUAUCAACUAUUAUAUUAGUUUCCUAGGGCUGUUGUAACAAAGUACCACACACUGGGUGGCUUAAAUGACAGAAAUUUAUUCUCUCACAGUUCUGGAACUAGAAGUCCAAAAUCCAGGUGUCAGCAGGAUUGGUUCCAACUGAGAGCUCUGAAUAGAAUCUUUCCUUGCCCCUUCCUAGCUUCUGGCAGUGGCUGUUCAUCUUUGGUCUUCCUUGACUUGCAGAGUCAUCCUUCCAGCCUCUGCCUCUGUCAUCAUUCUCUCUCUUUCUCUUCUUAUAAUGACUGCUACCAGUCACAUUGGAUUAGGACCCACCCCAAUGACCUCAUCUUAAUCUGAUAACAUUUUCAAAUACCCUGUUUCCAAAUACAUUGACAUUCGCAGGUCUAGGACUUGGACAUAUGUUUUUGGGAGACACAAUUCAACCCAUAAUAGGUAUAAUGAAUCAGGUUUAAGAUGCCAUUAUCAUUUACCCAGACCAUUCUAGUAGCCUGAUAAAGUUAUUACAUGUUAGAAUUUGAACAAAUUCCAUAUAGUGUCAUCCCCUUUUGGGGGAAAACACCUAUUAAAUAAUUUAUAUAGCAUGGUGUAGAUUACCUAACUAAUUAUGUAUUCGGCUUAAGUUUUGGAAGGAGAAAAGAUAGUUUGAUAGUCUUGUCUAGGGUAAUGAAGGAGAGUGGCCCUGGAAUCUUGCCUUUUGGGAUAAAAUUAUUGCUGGUAAAGCACUGACUCAUAAGAAAACAGCAGUGACUUAUUUCCUUUUCUUUUCUUUCUCUCUCUCUCUCUUUCUCAAAACUUCUCGUUCAUUUUAAAGUUCAAAUUUUUUUAUUUUAAAAUAUUUUAUUGGAAAGUAUUAGUAACUGAUAUUAAGCACUUAAUAAAGUUAAACAUUUUGUUUUUUCUUAUUUAAGCCUUACAGAAAUUUUAAUAACAGUAAAUGUUGUAAUUAUCCUUAUUUUACAGGCAAAUGUGGAUAUAUGUUUAUAACUGCACAAAUGAAUUCUGAAGGGACACAUAAGACAUUGGUAUUGGUUGCCUAUGGGGAAUAUAAUUGAUAUGGGGGAGACCUGGUUUUCCUUAUAUGCUCUUCUAUAUUGUUUAAAAAAUUAUUUAUGAAAAUUAAAUAUAUACUAAAAAAGAGAGAAAUUGCUGAGUUUUUCCUUUUAGCUGGACUAUCAACUCUUUUAGGAAAAAGCAGUGAUCUAUCAAAUUGUAUUGAUAUAUUCAGUAGAUCUGCUACUGAAGUACUUAUUUACAUUGGAGUUAAAAACACAAAUGCAGUUUGACAAAUAUAAAUUCUUAGAAAAAGUAAGUUCUACUCUUUUAUUUGGGGAUAUAAUAUUUUACCGAUUUCAUAUUUGCAGUGUUGUAGGGUAAUGCAGUUGCUUUUAACAAGCCGUAAGUGAACUUCUGAGAAUUUUAUUCAAAGUAAACAGUUUAGGAGAAUAUAAGAUCCUUUGAAGUGAUUCUGCCAUUUUUCUAAUUUUUUUCUUUAAGAAUUUCUUAAGCAUUGUGAAAUAUAUUUAUGUAUUUAAACUUUUAGAAAUUUAUGCUGUUAAGGAAAAAAUUAUUCAUGACAAUUGUUAAAGAUGGUAAGGAAGACACUUGUUAAAGAUAGGUACAGGGAGCACUGCAGUGGAUUCUCGCAGUUGGGGAGAGAGAUUGGGCUCUACUCUAUAUACUACAAGUAAAAGCGGGAAUUUAUAGACAAGGAUGUGGGUGUGGUUGGUGGAUGGAAAAUUACUAGGGGGCAACAUUAGGAAUAAGAGAGGAUUCUGGCCAAACUGACCUAACAGGAUUCUUGUUGAAGGCAGGCCAGGGUGAUCAGACAUCACCUGGAGGAUGGUGAAGGAUGAGGAACCUAAUUAGAUAUGAGGGUGAUCAGAUAAGGAGAAUGGCUGACUUGACUUAGUAGGACUCUUGCUAAAAUUGGACAACAUAGAGACAAACAAGGAAGUCCAAAAGUUGAGGAAUAGUUGAAAAAGAACAUGGAAUAGCUCGAGUAGAGUUUGAUCAAGGAGAGAAUCUUUGUCAAUAUUUUCUGACACCUGUAUCUGAAAAUAUCAAAUAGUUACUUGUAUUAGGCCCAUUCAGAAAAUCAAAACUGUUGUAUUACAUUAGAAUUAGUAUUAGUGGCAGGGGCACAGUGGCUCAUACCUGUAAUAUCAGCACUUUGAGAGGCUGAGGCAGGAGGAUCGCUUGAGCCCAGGAGGUCAAGGUUGCAGUGAGUCAUGAUCAGGUCACUACUCCAGCCUGGGUGACAGAGUGAGACCCCAGCUCAAAAAAAAAAAAUUAGUACUAGUAUUGAAUUAGAAAGAAUUUAAUAUAAGAAAAAAAUUUAAAAA